rnacentral:rRNA from 1 species
AGUGAACGCUGGCGGUAGGCCUAACACAUGCAAGUCGAACGGCAGCACAGGAGAGCUUGCUCUCUGGGUGGCGAGUGGCGGACGGGUGAGGAAUACAUCGGAAUCUGCCCAGUCGUGGGGGAUAACGUAGGGAAACUUACGCUAAUACCGCAUACGACCUUCGGGUGAAAGAGGGGGAUCGCAAGACCUCUCGCGAUUGGAUGAGCCGAUGUCGGAUUAGCUAGUUGGCGGGGUAAUGGCCCACCAAGGCGACGAUCCGUAGCUGGUCUGAGAGGAUGAUCAGCCACACUGGAACUGAGACACGGUCCAGACUCCUACGGGAGGCAGCAGUGGGGAAUAUUGGACAAUGGGCGCAAGCCUGAUCCAGCCAUACCGCGUGGGCGAAGAAGGCCUUCGGGUUGUAAAGCCCUUUUGUUGGGAAAGAAAUCUUUCAGGCUAAUACCCUGGGAGGAUGACGGUACCCAAAGAAUAAGCACCGGCUAACUUCGUG